UCGGAAGAUCAAGGUUCUGAGGAGCAAGGAGGUACCUCUGGUGUUGGUUCAGUGGCAACACCGGAAAGGAUCGGAAAUGACUUGGGAGCCGGAACGUGAGAUGCGGGAGCAGCAUCCGGAACUAUUUUCCGAGUGAGACUUCGAGGGCGAAGUCUAAUCCUAGUGGGGGAGAAUUGUAACAGCCCGGAAUCUCAGGUAUGGUUAAAAUUAUGUUUUUGGAGUGUUUUAAGAGGGGACUCGGCGAGUUGGAGCCUAGACUCGCCGAGUAGGACCGCAGACCUGGUCGCGGGUUCGCAACUGGACUCGACGAGUCCAGAUAUGGACUCGGCGAGUCUGCGCUGUUUAGCGAAAACCCUAACCGUUCAGGUUUGGGACGUAUAAAAGGGACUUAUUGGCCGUCAUUGUUCACUUUAGCCUUCUGAGAGAAACCCUAAAUCGAUUGUGUGCAUCUGGAGCAAGGUUAAAGGCCAUUGGUGAUUUUGAAGGAGUUGUUGUGCAAGGAAGAGAAGGGCUUGGCUAAAGGAACUGCAAGAGAGUCACGUUCUGAGGAUUGGGGACACAGAGAGUACAUCAUCCAGGGAGUUUGUAGCUCGGCGGAUCGAACACGAGUGAUUUCAGGAUUUGCUAGCUUUCAGUAUUCACGAGGUACUAGCGAGGACCGUGGGAAGGCGCCGGCGUGAUGUGUACACACUGAUUGAUGUUUUGAGAUCUUGGGAAUUCUAUGAAUUGUAUUUUGACAUAACACUUGGAAUAAUUAU